AAACUUUCAACAACGGAUCUCUUGGUUCUGGCAUCGAUGAAGAACGCAGCGAAAUGCGAUAAGUAAUGUGAAUUGCAGAAUUCAGUGAAUCAUCGAAUCUUUGAACGCACAUUGCGCCCAUUAGUAUUCUAAUGGGCAUGCCUAUUCGAGCGUCAUUUC
rnacentral:rRNA from 1 species